GAGUGAAAGAGAUCUUUGGUUUUGCCUUUGCUGACUGCUGAUCUGAUCGUCUCAAGUCUGGUGACCUGCUGCAGAAAACCCUCUCCCUCUAUCAUUAUCAAGCAAUUCUGUCUAUCCUAUCACUCUCCCAACUCUAUCUAAUUUGACAGCCAUUCUAUCUUGUAUCAAUCUAUCCCAACUGCUCUAUCUAAUUUGACAGCCAUUCUAUCUUGUAUCAAUCUAUCCCAACUGCUCUAUCUAAUUUGACAGCCAUUCUAUCUUGUAUCAAUCUAUCCCAAGCACUCUAUCUCGUUUUCAGAAAUCCCAGUUUUCAGAAAUCCCAGUUUUCAGAAAUCCCAGUCUUCAGAAAUCCCAGUCUUCAGAAAUCCCAGUUUUCAGAAAUCCCAGUUUUGAAAAAUCCAAGUUUUGAAAAAUCCAAGUUUUGAAAAAUCCAAGUUUUGAAAAAUCCAAGUUUUGAAAAAUCCAAGUUUUUGGCAAUUGAAGUUACCAGAACUUUGUCAAUCUGUAUUCAGAAUUCUGAGAGAUCUCUGCUCUCACUGCUCCUCCUUUCCUGUCAUUAAACUCUCUCCAUUCAUUUUGCUGGAAAAUAACAAUUAGAAAGUUGAAUAUACAGUAGUAGAAUUGCAGUACAGUAGAACUUAUAGUAGAAACUACUUAUACAGCCCUACAUUUGUAGUUUUAACUUGGCAUUACACUUUGAAAUAAACACUGAUAGUUUGGCUUACAAGUGCAAUUUGAUAAAUUAUAUAAACUUAUAUACA